AUUCUACUCUCUUCGUUUGGAAAUACUAGUUGGAGAAAUGAAUGUAUCUAGACAUAUUUUAGUUCUAGAUACAUUUAUUUUUAUCCAUUUUUGCAACAAGUAAUUCCAGACCAAGGGGAGGGGGAA
rfam:Triticum aestivum genome assembly, contig: Triticum_aestivum_CS42_TGACv1_scaffold_570130_7AS